rnacentral:misc_RNA from 1 species
UACGUAGGGUGCGAGCGUUAUCCGGAUUUACUGGGCGUAAAGCGUCCGUCGGCGGUUUUUCAAGUCUCUUGUUUAAGACUACGGCUUAACUGUGGAAAAGCAAGAGAAACUGGAUUACUUGAGUCUGUUAGAGGAAGUUGGAAUUCUCGGUGGAGGGGUGAAAUCCGUAGAUAUCGAGAGGAACGCCAAUUGCGAAGGCAAGCUUCUAUGACAGCACUGACGCUCAGGGACGAAAGCUAGGGUAGCAAAAGGG